UGUUAAAGCGAUAAAUCAAAAGAAAAUUGAGUGGUGGUUGAGGCACCAAAACGCGACGAAGUGAGAACUGAUAACCACUACCGCCUUUUUGUAAAGAGGCUUAUUCCGUGAACCAGUGAAGAGAAACGGAGAGGCAAAUUCCG
ensembl:ncRNA C44B7.17 ncRNA